rnacentral:rRNA from 1 species
AGUGAACGCUGGCGGUAGGCCUAACACAUGCAAGUUGAACGGCAGCACAGUAAGAGCUUGCUCUUACGGGUGGCGAGUGGCGGACGGGUGAGGAAUACAUCGGAAUCUACUUUUUCGUGGGGGAUAACGUAGGGAAACUUACGCUAAUACCGCAUACGACCUACGGGUGAAAGCAGGGGAUCUUCGGACCUUGCGCGAUUGAAUGAGCCGAUGUCGGAUUAGCUAGUUGGCGGGGUAAAGGCCCACCAAGGCGACGAUCCGUAGCUGGCCUGAGAGGAUGAUCAGCCACACUGGAACUGAGACACGGUCCAGACUCCUACGGGAGGCAGCAGUGGGGAAUAUUGGACAAUGGGCGCAAGCCUGAUCCAGCCAUACCGCGUGGGUGAAGAAGGCCUUCGGGUUGUAAAGCCCUUUUGUUGGGAAAGAAAAGCAGCAGGUUAAUACCCCGCUGUUCUGACGGUACCCAAAGAAUAAGCACCGGCUAACUUCGUG